GGAGGGUAUGUGUAUUUCCUGGAAUGAACCUUUUUUUUUUUUCACAUUAAUGUUUUUUUUCACAGGCCCUACACUGGAACAGGCCACGGAGGAGGAGGAUGAUGAUGAUGAUGAUGCGGCUGCAUUUAGUGACGACGAGCCAGAAUACAUUUUUGUCCGUCGCCAACCAGUGGAGGAGACACCUGAGCCAAUGAUUUAUGGGGGCCCAAGACAGGGCCAUGAACGGUGGGCUGGCCCAGAAGCGGGCAGGCAGCAGCCCACUU